rnacentral:rRNA from 1 species
ACUCCUACGGGAGGCAGCAGUGGGGAAUAUUGGACAAUGGGCGAAAGCCUGAUCCAGCAAUGCCGCGUGAGUGAAGAAGGCCUUCGGGUUGUAAAGCUCUUUUGUCAGGGAAGAAACGGUAGAGGCUAAUAUCCUUUGCUAAUGACGGUACCUGAAGAAUAAGCACCGGCUAACUACGUGCCAGCAGCCGCGGUAAU